rnacentral:rRNA from 1 species
AUUGAACGCUGGCGGCAGGCUUAACACAUGCAAGUCGAACGAGUGGCGGACGGGUGAGUAAUGCUUGGGAAUCUACCUUAUGGAGGGGGAUAACUACGGGAAACUGUAGCUAAUACCGCAUACCAUAGGAUGAGCCCAAGUGGGAUUAGGUAGUAGGUGGGGUAAAGGCUCACCAAGCCGACGAUCCCUAGCUGGUCUGAGAGGAUGACCAGCCACACUGGGACUGAGACACGGCCCAGACUCCUACGGGAGGCAGCAGUGGGGAAUAUUGCGCAAUGGGGGCAAGCUGAUGCAGCCAUGCCGCGUGAAUGAAGAAGGCCUUCGGGUUGUAAAGUUCUUUCGGUAGCGAGGCGUUACCAGCAGAAGAAGCACCGGCUAACUUCGUGCCAGCAGCCGCGGUAAUAC